UUGGACAUAGCUGAGCGGCACAGCACCUGCCUUGCAAGCAUGAGGUCAUGAGUUCGAUACCUAUUAGCAGAA
rnacentral:tRNA from 1 species